CUUUCAUUGAGACUAUGGAUGUUAGUGUGUAAGAGAUCCGCUGCCCGGCCAUGGAGUGUCGGGACGUAGAGACCAAAAUACAAAUCUAUCCAUGCAAGCAUUUACCGCCAUAUUAUGGCGGUUUUUUUUGUCUGCAAUCCGGCCACUAGCGGGCAGGCCGCGAAUAGUGUUUGCGAUACUGGGCCGGUGAAAGGGCGAACUGCUGCCGAAAAUGGUGA
rnacentral:sRNA from 1 species